GUGCUAAAUUACCGCAUAUUUGUCUAAUAUUUAAUUGGAGGAGAAAUAUUUGGGGAGAGAACGCCAAAUUUAUAGAGGUUAUGGUUUUAAUCUUAUGCAAUAUCAUCUUCCAGAAUAGCUGUAGUGGACCACAAUCCCACCAUGUGUGUAAAUAGUCCCCUCUUUCUGUGUUGCAGCGGCAACAUGUAUGAACCUGGUUAUUAAAAAAUUUACUCGUUCUGCUGGGAACCA